rnacentral:ncRNA from 2 species
GUGUCAAACCAUGUGACAGGUUUUGCCGGAACGAAUCCCCGGCAAUACCAAAAGGGAAUGCGACGGACGGACCCACGCCGGGCGUCUUUAUCGCAGCCGACCCCGCGACUGUAGAGCGGAGAGGGAAGAGGCAAGCCGGGCAACCGGCAGCCACUGGAAAUCAGAUGGAUUUCUGGGAAGGCGCUUUAUUCCCCAAGACCCGCGAGCCAGGAGACCUGCCUGUUGCAUGAGGGCAUU